rnacentral:rRNA from 1 species
CAAUAGCGUAUAUUUAAGUUGUUGCAGUUAAAAAGCUCGUAGUUGGAUUUCGGAUGGGACUUGCCGGUCCGUCGUUUCGAUGUGCACUGGCCAGUCCUAUCUUGUUGUCGGGGACUAGCUCCUGGGCUUCACUGUCCGGGACUAGGAGCUGACGAGGUUACUUUGAGUAAAUUAGAGUGUUCAAAGCAAGCCUACGCUCUGAAUACAUUAGCAUGGAAUAACACGAUAGGACUCUGGCUUAUCUUGUUGGUCUGUGAGACCAGAGUAAUGAUUAAGAGGGACAGUCGGGGGCAUUCGUAUUUCAUUGUCAGAGGUGAAAUUCUUGGAUUUACGGAAGACGAACAUCUGCGAAAGCAUUUGCCAAGGAUGUUUUCAUUGA